AUGCUAUGGUGUUGGAAUUUUCUUAACAACUCUUUAAACCUCUCCUAUGCAUCAGGAACAACUUCAUCGUCCAUUUGUUAAAAAAGACAGAUUUCAUUUCGGGACUU